CUUCCUAUUUAACAACAUAUGCUGAGUUGGACGAGGCCAUGGAUACUGGCUUCAGACAAUUAAUGCAUGCUGACUUAAAGGAAGGUCACGUACAGCACUCAAAAACGUUUAUGCUGAGCUGAUAAUAAAUUGAGCAUAAAAAAUGGCCAUGCUGUAACUUAUAUGUUAAUUAAGCCAUGCUGAUCAAAUCCUUACUAAACUCAGAUUAACAAAGUCAGCAUAUUAUAUUUAUAGCAUAGAAUUGGUAUGAAAAAAUCGGUCAUGCUGAGUACAGCCUGACAUCAUUGAAUCUUUAAUGCUGUCAUGCUGAUAUCUUGACCAUCCUGAGUUCAAAAUAGUCAGCAUUGAUACACAGGCUAUGCUGAGUGAGAAUUAACAUUACUGACUUAAUAAACCCCCAUAUGCUGAGCUCAGAUGGGAAACUAACACAUGCUGACUGAUUCUGGGCCAUGAGGUUGUUGACCAAUCCUUCCCCACUUAUAAAUUACUUGCAAUACUUAUAGGCUACUUUUGUGACUCUGUGUAGGCCUACAUUCCAUAAUACUCAACCUAACCUCAAUCCUCUCUCUCUAUACCAAAUGGAUUUAGACGUUAAAAUUCUUCCUUAUGAACUGUUCUUAUAAAUUACUUGCAAUACUUAUAGGCUACUUUUGUGAUUCUGUGUAGGCCUAUAUAGUCAUUCCAUAUUCAACCUAACCUCGAUCCUCUCUCUUUCUAUACCAACUGGAUUUAGCAAUUAAAAUUCUUCCUUUGGGGGUGUAAUUAAUUUCUGUAUGCCACUCAAUCUGAUGCCUUGGAACUUGGAUACAUAGCCAGUAUUAAUAUAUCUGAAUGCUGUGUUGGGUAAUUAAUCACUAAUUGAUCCUGAUAAAUACUGUUUGGGGACAUCAUUAAUUCUUCUCGGUCAAUCCUUGUUCAUUGAUAUGCUCAGGAACUUGGAUUAUAAACAAGUCUGAACUUUCAACAGUAAAUACAUAGUAAAUUCUGACAGCACGGGACUUUUCCAAACAGUCAAAUUCCCUCUAUAUAAAUAGUUUGUGGGUGGCUGGGGAGCUAAUUCAUUCUCCUAGGUCAACCCUCCCUCUUUCAAUGUGAUGGUUUAGCCCCUUGAAUUUUUGCCGGUACUAAUUAUAAGCUUUCAAGUGUUAAAUAUAUAGCAAAUUCUGAAUACAAGUCCUUUGCAGAUGGCUAGACUCCCUCACUCAAUCCCUUCCUACACACAGUUCUCCUUACAUAAUACUCAUUGUUAUUAAGUCAGUAAUAAGCAUCUAAGCAGAAUAAUGACCAAGAUAAGCUAUAGAUGAAAUUAAUAUAGAUAUAUGUAGACAGAACCUCACAAGUUAAGCUAUUUCCAGUUUCCAAGGGCUGAGUUAAGCUGGGAGUUAGGUUAGAUCCUCGCAUGAAUUUAAGCUAUUUCCAGUUUCCAAGGGCUGAGUUAAGCUGGGAGUUAGGUUAGAUCCUCGCAUGAAUUUAAGCUAUUUCCAGUUUCCAAGGGCUGAGUUAAGCUGGGAGUUAGGUUAGAUCCUCGCAUGAAUUUAAGCUAUUUCCAGUUUCCAAGGGCUGAGUUAAGCUGGGAGUUAGGUUAGAUCCUCGCAUGAAUUUAAGCUAUUUCCAGUUUCCAAGGGCUGAGUUAAGCUGGGAGUUAGGUUAGAUCCUCACAUGAAUUUAAGCUAUUUGCAGUUUCCAAGGGCUGAGUUGAGCUGGGAGUUAGGUUAGAUCCUCACAUGAAUUUAAGCUAUUUCCAGUUUCCAAGGGCUGAGUUAAGCUGGGAGUUAGGUUAGAUCCUCACAUGAAUUUAAGCUAUUUGCAGUUUCCAAGGGCUGAGUUGAGCUGGGAGUUGUUAGACCCUCACAUGAAUUUAAGCUAUUUCCAGUUUCCAAGGGCUGAGUUGAGCUGGGAGUUAGGUUAGAUCCUCACAUGAAUUUAAGCUAUUUCCAGUUUCCAAGGGCUGAGUUAAGCUGGGAGUUAGGUUAGAUCCUCACAUGAAUUUAAGCUAUUUCCAGUUUCCAAGGGCUGCGUUAACCUGGGAGUUAGGUUAGAUCCUCGCAUGAAUUUAAGCUAUUUCCAGUUUCCAAGGGCUGAGUUAAACUGGGAGUUCCGUUUCCUUGUCUAUAUCUACCUAAAUUCCCCUUCAAUCAUUAGCCGGGCACUCCACACCUCCCCUUUCUUGACCAUUAUACUCAUCCACUUCUGUUCGGGAGACUGAUCUUUUUACCCUUCAGACAUUUAAGAUUGAAGACAUUAGCUUCAAGACUCCUAGUUUCUAUAUACCUUCAAGUUGACACCAUCCUGUAACCUAACUUGCAUGGGAAACUGUACCU